rnacentral:lncRNA from 1 species
CCCGCAUGUUGUUUUUUGUCCCGGAGCACAUGCGAUCAGCAUAGGAGUUUGUUCGUUGUGGAUAUGUCGUUAUUUUUUUAUGUUGUGUUUUGUAUAUAACUGUUUGACACUUUCUGUUUUUUUUUUCUUUUUUUUCUCUUAUUUAUGUCAUGACGUUGUUAGUGUAUUUUGACACAUGAAUUUGUGUGUCCAUUUUGUAUCUCUUAUAUUACAAUCUUCAAUACAUGGGCAUAUUACAGUAUAUAUUAUAUCUUUACUCCUCCUUCUUGUAGCUGAGAUGUCUUCC